GACGAACGCUGGCGGCGUGCCUAAUACAUGCAAGUCGAACGCAGUGGGGACGGGUGAGUAACCCGUGGGUAACCUCCCAUCAGAGGGGAUAACACUUGGCAACAGGUGCUAAACCGAUACUGAUGGAUGAACCCGCGGUGCCUUAGCUAGUUGGUGAGGUAACGGCUCACCAAGGCCAAUAUGCAGACCCGACCUGAGAGGGUGAUCGGCCACACUGGGACUGAGACACGGCCCUGCAUCCGACGGGAGGCAGCAGUAGGGAAUCUUCGGAAAUGGGCGAAAGUCUGACCGAGCAAUGCCGCGUGAGUGAAGAAGUUUGUCGGAUCGUAAAACUCUGUUGUUUGAGAAGCGGUAUCUAACCAGAAAGCAACGGCUAACUACGUGCCAGCAGCCGCGGUAAUUC
rnacentral:rRNA from 1 species